CCUUUCCUUUGAGUUAUAUCGAAGAUGCACAAAUAUUCGCCACUUAUACGUUUGAUGUACAAAUCUGUUUGUCAAUGCGGUUUUGAGCAGUAACAUGCUAGAUAAAUGAAUAUGUGUAUUGUAUUGUUCACAAAACUUACCCGUGUUAUAAAUGAGCGAUUCCGUAAAGAGCAAUGUGUAGGGGUCCAAUGAGGGAAAACUAUUUCCCUUAUUUUUUGUUUAAGAUAAAGAUUUGUUUAAUUAAAUUUCCAGAUACGCCGAGAUGCCCGAGAAGCAAGGAUAACUCAAGCGCAACAUCUGUUCCAUCAACCUCAACCUCAACUCCACUGUCCAGUGACAGUAGCAGAAAGAGGACUCUCAAAGAUGCCCAGUUAAGAGGCCCUGGAAAGCCAGGCAGAGAUGAGUCGUGAGGGAGCAGCGUGUUACCGAAAAGUUACACGACUUGCCGAGUUAUUGAUAGAACGCCUUGAAAAACAAUGAAAACAUUUAUUAUUCUUGUUAAUGUUAUUUUACUGUUAAAUCUUUUUGUUUGAUAGUUUGAUUUGUUAAUAACAACAACAGUUAAUACAAUUAUAAUUUAUUUUACUUCAUAUGUUCAUGCAUUUUCACCAUUUUAAUUGCAAUAAAUAUUUCAUUUUCCUAUACAAAGAUGUUACUGUUUAUAUACAAUCGAAAGCUUGAAG